AAUGACUAUAAAAGCUUCCCCCUGUGACUCACACUUGGAGAUCUCCCCACGGACAGAAGACGGAUCCAUUGGCCAGACGCCACGCCACGAGGACGCCUCUGCCGUUGACUUCACAACCGCGCUGCUGAAUCAAUGGAGUUUUCUUGACGACGAUCGUGAGUCACGGGGUGGUGUGAGAGUCGGGGCCCGAGGGUCCCUGGUUUUGCCUCACGACCUUCGUCAAGGUCCCCUGUCAAGGAAGGGACUGUGUGCAAGGGGCUCGGGCCUAACCCAUGGUGUGUGUGUGUACCAAGCACUGAACUGCAGGUGUGACUACUGGACCGGAGCUGGCUCCCAUGGGAACUUGUACGAAGACAAUGGACGGCUGGACAGCCUGUGCUUACCUGCAACCAGGCCCAGACCUGCUUGGCCCAGACCUGCUCGAUCUAAACGGUUGCACCUGGUUCCCAGAGCAACGGGGCUCCUCACAAUGACUUUCGGGUGCUCCCUCCCGCUUCUGCCCGCCUUG